rnacentral:sRNA from 1 species
UGCUAAUGCCCUCCUUGGGCGUUUCCUCCCUUGACUUGCACCGCUUGUGGCAACACGAGCGGUUUUCUUUUUGGGCC